rnacentral:lncRNA from 1 species
GCUUUUAGAGAAUUUAAUUCUUCAUAUUGUUAAUAAGAAUGGAAAGAGUUUAAAAAAAAACAUCAUUUGAUGGCAUCAUUUUCUAAAAAUUUGGACUCUAAGUAGCAACAUUGAUGACUUAUUUCCUAUAUGGAUAGUCCAAGUUCCGAAAAUAUGGCAUUCAAUCAAAGUUAUACAUACAUUGAGCUUUCAGUGCAUGCCAAGAUACACAAAGUAAUAGCCAUGUUGAUGAAAGUGACAAAAAAAUCAAAUUCAAUUUUUUUUAUGUAAAAGAUUGCUUUUUAAACAAUAUAUUUCUAUUUUAUUGAUAACAGAUAUCUUGCAUGAAUGAGUAGAAAAAUCCUGAUUUGUCAAGUACAAUGUCCAACACAUGACAAAAUAUGAUUACCAAAUCCAUGGAUGUGCCUUACUGCCAUUAACAAUUUGAAAACAAACUCAGGCAUAUGUAUAUUGCAAAGGUACAAACAUUUGAAUUCAAAGAGUCAAAGCAAGAAAUCAGGGUUCAAGGACUCAGCAUUGUGGAAUAUAUUUUUAUCCAUUAAUACAAGAUAUUUGCUUAAAAAGGUAAAGGUCCAAACACAAAGAGAAGCAACUAGCUUCUCUAGUUAUCUCAUCUAUAUGAAUGAUAUAACAUAUCCUAGCAUCCUUGGAUAACCAAUGAUUUAUAGAUCUUUCGUAUAGCAAAUCUCAUGAAGAAUGUAAUAUGCCAACAAGUUGCAACUUAGGGAAGCUUGUGAAGUACUCUUUUUCUUCUUUUUUCUCCCGAGUAGAUGCAAGAGUAAAAAUAAAAACUAUCUAAAAGAAUUAUUCACAUGUGC